ACAUGCCUACAACAUAGAGUUAAUGCAUCGGAUCCCAUUAGAACUCCACAGUUAAGUGCGCUCGGUCUAGAGUAGUACUAGAGUAGUAUUGGGAUGGGUGACCGCUUGGGAAGUACUAGUAUUUUACAUGCC
rnacentral:rRNA from 1 species